UUGUGUGGGGAUCAUUAUCAGUUGGGAUUGGACACCAACAAGUAGAAGAAAUGAUGGCAGUAAUGGAAGUCCCUGUAAUGAGUAAACGGAAAUGGACGAGACAUGAACAGCGAGUUGAAAAGGCAUGGGAAGACAAACUGGAAAAAUACAUGCUUGCUAAUGGAGUCCAAGAACGUGAAAUCGCUCUAAAGAAGGGCAACAUAGAUGAAGAUGGAAUCCCUUACAUUACAGUCUAUCAAGAUGGCGGUUGGUGUACAAGAUCAUACGGCCAUGGUUUUACUGCAAAAUCAGGAGUUGCUUGCAUAAUUGGAGCCGAAACUAAUGGUUUGCUGUACGUUGGAAUACGCAACAAGUAUUGUUAUAUAUGUAACAACCAAGAAAAACCAGGCAGCAAAUCCAGGCCACAUAAAUGCUACAAAAAUUAUAAAGGAACUUCAACAGGAAUGGAACAAGAAAUUAUUGUACAAGGUUUUAAAGAAAGCGAAUCGAUGCAUGGGGUACGUUAUUUGUACAUUAUCAGUGACUGUGAUUCAAGUUCGUAUCUGAAGAUUCAGCGAGGUGUUUCAUAUGGUAGACAUGUAGUGAAAUUGGAAUGUGCCAACCAUAUGAUAAGAAACUACACUAGCAAACUACAUGCCAUUACCAAGGAUACCACUCACGUCAUCACUGCAAGGCGUCAAUUGUCCCAGUUAAUUCCUCGAUUGACGAGAGGGGCACGAGCAGCUAUUGCUUCUGCAAAUAAAGAGUGCAAUAGUACUAUGCUGCAAAAAGAUUUGAAG